rnacentral:rRNA from 1 species
UGGGAAUAUUGCACAAUGGGCGUAAGCCUGAUGCAGCGACGCCGCGUGAGGGAUGACGGCCUUCGGGUUGUAAACCUCUUUCAGCAGGGAAGAAGCGAAAGUGACGGUACCUGCAGAAGAAGCACCGGCUAACUACGUGCCAGCAGCCGCGGUAAUACGUAGGGUGCGAGCGUUGUCCGGAAUUAUUGGGCGUAAAGAGCUUGUAGGCGGUUUGUCGCGCCUGCUGUGAAAAAAUCCGGGGGCUCAAACCCCCGGAGCUUGCAGUGGGUAGCGGGCAGACUAGAGUGUGGUAGGGGANACUGGAAAUUCCUGGUGUAGCGGUGAAAUGCGCAGAUAUCAGGAGGAACACCGAUGGCGAAGGCAGGUCUCUGGGCCACUACUGACGCUGAGAAGC